rnacentral:rRNA from 1 species
CCUACGGGUGGCAGCAGUGAGGAAUAUUGGUCAAUGGGCGGGAGCCUGAACCAGCCAAGCCGCGUGAGGGAAGAAGGUACUGCGUAUCGUAAACCUCUUUUGCCAGGGAACAAAGGAGGGGACUAGUCCCCGGAUGAGGGUACCUGAAGAAAAAGCAUCGGCUAACUCCGUGCCAGCAGCCGCGGUAAUACGGAGGAUGCGAGGGUUAUCCGGGUUUAUUGGGUUUAAAGGGUGCGCAGGCGGCCUGUUAAGUCAGCGGGAAAAGCCCGGGGCUCAACCCCGGCGCGCCGUUGAAACUGGCGGGCUGGAGUGGGAGAGAAGUACGCGGAAUGCGCGGUGUAGCGGUGAAAUGCUUAGAUAUCGCGCAGAACCCCGAUUGCGAAGGCAGCGUACCGGCUCCACACUGACGCUGAGGCACGAAAGCGUGGGUAUCGAACAGGAUUAGAUACCCUUGUAGUC